rnacentral:rRNA from 1 species
UACGAGAGACCCGAACGUUAUUCGGAAUUACUGGGCUUACAGAGUUCGUAGGCGGCUCAGAAAGUUGGGUGUGAAAUCCCUCGGCUCAACCGAGGAAUUGGCGCUCAAAACUACUGAGCUUGAGGGGUAUAGAGGUAAGCGGAACGUGAUGGUGGAGCGGUGAAAUGCGUUGAUAUCAUCAGGAACACCGGUGGCGAAGGCGGCCUCUGGACAGUGACGUGACGCUGA